AUUGAACGCUGGCGGCAUGCUUUACACAUGCAAGUCGAACGGCAGCGCGGGGGCAACCCUGGCGGCGAGUGGCGAACGGGUGAGUAAUGCAUCGGAACGUAUCCUGUAAUGGGGGGAUAACGUAGCGAAAGUUACGCUAAUACCGCAUACGCUCGAGAGAGGAAAGUGGGGGAUCGCAAGACCUCACGUUAUAGGAGCGGCCGAUGUCCGAUUAGCUAGUUGGUGGGUAAAGCCUACAAGGCGACGAUCGGUAGCUGGUCUGAGAGGAUGAUCAGCCACACUGGGACUGAGACACGGCCCAGACUCCUACGGGAGGCAGCAGUGGGGAAUUUUGGACAAUGGGCGAAAGCCUGAUCCAGCCAUGCCGCGUGCGGGAAGAAGGCCUCGGUUGUAACGC
rnacentral:rRNA from 1 species